GGGCGCAAGCCUGAUGCAGCCAUGCCGCGUGUGUGAAGAAGGCCUUAGGGUUGUAAAGCACUUUCAGUCAGGAGGAAAGGUUAGUAGUUAAUACCUGCUAGCUGUGACGUUACUGACAGAAGAAGCACCGGCUAACUCCGUGCCAGCAGCCGCGGUAAUACGGAGGGUGCGAGCGUUAAUCGGAAUUACUGGGCGUAAAGCGUACGCAGGCGGUUUGUUAAGCGAGAUGUGAAAGCCCCGGGCUUAACCUGGGAACUGCAUUUCGAACUGGCAAACUAGAGUGUGAUAGAGGGUGGUAGAAUUUCAGGUGUAGCGGUGAAAUGCGUAGAGAUCUGAAGGAAUACCGAUGGCGAAGGCAGCCACCUGGGUCAACACUGACGCUCAUGUACGAAAGCGUGGGGAGCAACCAGGUUUGGAUACCCUGGUAGUCCACGCCGUAAACGAUGUCUACUAGGAGCUGGGGUCUUCGGACAACUUUCCAAAGCUAACGCAUUAAGUAGACCGCCUGG
rnacentral:rRNA from 1 species